ACAUCAGUGAGGUACAUCCUUACCUGUUACCUUAGAAAUAAGGUUGCAGAACAUGAUGAUUGGAUUCCAUGAUGUGUGAUUAUAUUCCGCAUUUAUCAAGGAACCGCAACACCUUGAUGAAUCCUGUCUGAU